rnacentral:rRNA from 1 species
AUUGAACGCUGGCGGCAUGCCUUACACAUGCAAGUCGAACGGCAGCACGGGAGCAAUCCUGGUGGCGAGUGGCGAACGGGUGAGUAAUGCAUCGGAACGUACCCGGAAGUGGGGGAUAACGUAGCGAAAGUUACGCUAAUACCGCAUAUUCUGUGAGCAGGAAAGCGGGGGAUCUUCGGACCUCGUGCUUUCGGAGCGGCCGAUGUCGGAUUAGCUAGUUGGUGGGGUAAAGGCCUACCAAGGCGACGAUCCGUAGCAGGUCUGAGAGGAUGAUCUGCCACACUGGGACUGAGACACGGCCCAGACUCCUACGGGAGGCAGCAGUGGGGAAUUUUGGACAAUGGGCGCAAGCCUGAUCCAGCCAUGCCGCGUGAGUGAAGAAGGCCUUCGGGUUGUAAAGCUCUUUUGUCAGGGAAGAAAUGGUUUGGGCUAAUACCCUGAAUCGAUGACGGUACCUGAAGAAUAAGCACCGGCUAACUACGUGCCAGCCGCCGCCGUAACAC